CGAAAUAGUGAUAUAGAGCAAAACCCUAAAAACGGUCUCAGUUCGGAUUGAAGGCUGAAAUUCGCCUUCAUGAAGCUGGAAUUGCUAGUAAUGGCAGGUCAGCAUACUGCCGUGAAUACGUUCCCGGGCCUUGUACACACCGCCCGUCACACCAUGAGAGUUGGGAAUACCCGAAGCCUGUGAGCUAACUUAUAGAGGCAGCAGUCGAAGGUAGAAUCAAUGAUUGGGGUGAAGUCGUAACAAGGUAUC
rnacentral:rRNA from 1 species